UCUAUAUGCCUGCAUUUUGGCUGACGUCAUCUUCUGUUUAUUUUUUCUAUUGCGAUGCCAUGAUGAAGAAGCUUCACCUGGAAAUGAGGAGGAGGAGGAAAAGGAAGGAACAAAAGAUAUGGAACGGAAAGAUUGAACUCAAGGCGGUGAAUGGCUUUUGCGAAGACCCACCAUAGGAAGUGUGAGCACCAACGUGAAGAUACCAUCAGAAGAGCGCAGCCGGAGAGUUACAUCGAUGAAGUUCAAUAAACUUAGGCUUGAAAUUACAUCAA
rnacentral:lncRNA from 1 species